GAUGAACGCUGGCGGCGUGCCUAAUACAUGCAAGUCGAGCGAACGGACGAGAAGCUUGCUUCUCUGAUGUUAGCGGCGGACGGGUGAGUAACACGUGGAUACCCUACCUAUAAGACUGGGAUAACUUCGGGAAACCGUAGCUAAUACCGGAGAAUAUUUUGAACCGCAUGGUUCAAAAGUGAAAGACGGUCUUGCUGUCACUUAUAGAUGGAUCCGCGCUGCAUUAGCUAGUUGGUAAGGUAACGGCUUACCAAGGCAACGAUGCAUAGCCGACCUGAGAGGGGGAUCGGCCACACUGGAACGGAGACACGGUCCAGACUCCUACGGGAGGCAGCAGUAGGGAAUCUUACGCAAUGGGCGAAAGCCUGACGGAGCAACGCCGCGUGAGUGAUGAAGGUCUUCGGAUCGUAAAACUCUGUUAUGAGGGAAGAGCAUAUGUGUAAGUAACUGUGCACAUCUUGACGGUACCUAAUCAGAAAGCCACGGCUAACUACGUG
rnacentral:rRNA from 1 species